CACCACCACCAUCACCCUGACUAGUCUUUCAGGCGAUGUGUGCUGGAAGACAAUUGAUCUUCCAGUGGUGCAGAGCGCGAUAAGAGCCCCCGGAAGAUCUUCUUCCGGGGGCUUUUUUU
rnacentral:sRNA from 1 species